GUUAUCGGAGCGCAGCUGUACGAGCUAAAAUGGAGCAGACCUUCAUCAUGAUCAAGCCCGACGGCGUCCAGCGCGGACUGGUGGGAGAGAUCAUCAGCCGAUUUGAGAAGAAGGGGUUCUAUCUCAAAGGGCUGAAGAUGCUGAAUGUGGAGCAAUCUUUCGCUGAGAAGCACUACGAGGAUCUGGCCACGAAGCCUUUCUUUGGGAAAUUGGUGGAUUACAUUAUAUCGGGCCCGGUGGUGGCCAUGGUGUGGGAGGGGAAGAAUGUUGUCUUGACUGGAAGGAAGAUUAUUGGUGCUACCAACCCGGCGGAUUCGGCUCCGGGGACUAUUCGUGGGGAUUUCGCUAUUGAGAUUGGGAGGAAUGUCAUUCACGGCAGUGACUCAGUUGAAAGUGCGAGGAAGGAAAUUGGUUUGUGGUUCCCUGAUGGCAUUGCUGGCUGGCAUAGCAACCUCCACCCUUGGAUUUACGAGUAAGCAGAAGCAGCAGCAG
rnacentral:misc_RNA from 1 species